GACGAAGGGGGCUAGCGUUGUUCGGAAUUACUGGGCGUAAGGCGCGUGUAGGCGGUUGUCCAAGUUGGAUGUGAAAGCCUUGAGCUUAACUCAAGAAAUGCACUCGGUACUGGGUGACUAGAGGACCGGAGAGGAUAGUGGAAUUCCCAGUGUAGUGGUGAAAUACGUAGAGAUUGGGAAGAACACCAGUGGCGAAGGCGGCUAUCUGGACGGUUUCUGACGCUAAGACGCGAAAGCGUGGGGAGCAAACAGG
rnacentral:rRNA from 1 species